GCUGCCAUCGCUAAAAACAUCACCAUCCCUAAUUUCGUCAUAAUAGCUAAUUUGAAAAUACCUUAUUGCUAAAUACCUUUGUUAGCGAUGAAGAAUACUGCCAUCGGUAAUAUGACUAUUAACGAUGGCAUUAGCGAUGCAAUAACUCUAUCGUUAAUUAUUUUUUAAUUUUAAAUUUAAAAAAUUAAAAAAAUAUUAAUGACUGUAUUUUUAUGG
rnacentral:lncRNA from 1 species